rnacentral:rRNA from 1 species
UAAAAGAAAUAAUUUUUAGUAACUCCUGCUCAAUGAAAUUUCAAUAGCCGCAGUCAUCUGUGCUAAGGUAGCAUAAUCAUUUGCCUAAUAAUUGUAGGAUAGAAUGAAAGGAAGCACAUGUAGACUUCUUUAUUAAAAAAAUAAAUCUAACUUCACUAAUAAGUAAAAAGUUCUUAUUUUUACAGGUGGACGACAAGACCCUAUCAAACUUUACACUUAUGUUUAGCUGGGGCGGCAAAAAAUUAAACCUUUUAUUUUAAAUUUCUUGUACAAACCUAAUUUUUGAAUUUACUAAUGUUACUGUAGGGAUAACAGCAUUAUUUUCCCCUAAAGAUCUUAUAUAAGGAAAAGUUUGUGACCUCGAUGUUGAAUUAAUAUACUCUUAGGGGCAACCCCUUAAAAAGAAAGUCUGUUCGACUUUUAAAUUAUU